CUAAUACAUGCAAGUCGAGCGAAUCGAUGGGAGCUUGCUCCCUGAGAUUAGCGGCGGACGGGUGAGUAACACGUGGGCAACCUGCCUAUAAGACUGGGAUAACUUCGGGAAACCGGAGCUAAUACCGGAUACGUUCUUUUCUCGCAUGAGAGAAGAUGGAAAGACGGUUUACGCUGUCACUUAUAGAUGGGCCCGCGGCGCAUUAGCUAGUUGGUGAGGUAAUGGCUCACCAAGGCGACGAUGCGUAGCCGACCUGAGAGGGUGAUCGGCCACACUGGGACUGAGACACGGCCCAGACUCCUACGGGAGGCAGCAGUAGGGAAUCUUCCGCAAUGGACGAAAGUCUGACGGAGCAACGCCGCGUGAACGAAGAAGGCCUUCGGGUCGUAAAGUUCUGUUGUUAGGGAAGAACAAGUACCAGAGUAACUGCUGGUACCUUGACGGUACCUAACCAGAAAGCC
rnacentral:rRNA from 1 species